UUGAACGCUGGCGGCAGGCCUAACACAUGCCAGUCGAGCGGAUGAAGGGAGCUUGCUCCUGGAUUCAGCGGCGGACGGGUGAGUAAUGCCUAGGAAUCUGCCUGGUAGUGGGGGAUAACGUCCGGAAACGGGCGCUAAUACCGCAUACGUCCUGAGGGAGAAAGUGGGGGAUCUUCGGACCUCACGCUAUCAGAUGAGCCUAGGUCGGAUUAGCUAGUUGGUGGGGUAAAGGCCUACCAAGGCGACGAUCCGUAACUGGUCUGAGAGGAUGAUCAGUCACACUGGAACUGAAACACGGUCCAGACUCCUACGGGAGGCAGCAGAGGGGAAUGUUAGACAAUGGGCGAAAGCCUGAUCCAGCCAUGCCGCGUGUGUGAAGAAGGUCUUCGGAUUGUAAAGCACUUUAAGUUGGGAGGAAGGGCAGUAAGUUAAUACCUUGCUGUUUUGACGUUACCAACAGAAUAAGCACCGGCUAACUUCGUG
rnacentral:rRNA from 1 species